AAUCAACGCUGGCGGCGUGCCUCAGACAUGCAAGUCGAACGAUUAAAGCUCUCUUCGGAGAGUGCAUAGAGUGGCGCACGGGUGAGUAACACGUAAGUAAUCUACCUUCGAGUGGGGAAUAACGUCCGGAAACGGGCGCUAAUACCGCAUAAUGCAGCGGCAUCGCAAGAUGACAGUUGUUAAAGGAGCAAUCCGCUUGAAGAGGAGCUUGCGGCAGAUUAGCUAGUUGGUAGGGUAAUGGCCUACCAAGGCUACGAUCUGUAACCGGUCUUAGAGGACGGUCGGUCACACUGACACUGAAUAACGGGUCAGACUCCUACGGGAGGCAGCAGUCGGGAAUUUUGGGCAAUGGGGGAAACCCUGACCCAGCAACGCCGCGUGAAGGAUGAAGUAUUUCGGUAUGUAUACUUCGAAAGAAUAGGAAGAAUUAAUGACGGUACUAUUUAUAAGGUCCGGCUAACUACGUG
rnacentral:rRNA from 1 species